rnacentral:rRNA from 1 species
CCUACGGGCGUCAGCAGUGAGGAAUAUUGGUCAAUGGGCGCGAGCCUGAACCAGCCAAGUCGCGUGAGGGAAGACGGUCCUAUGGAUUGUAAACCUCUUUUGUCGGGGAGCAAAAGACGCCACGCGUGGCGUUCCGAGAGUACCCGAAGAAAAAGCAUCGGCUAACUCCGUGCCAGCAGCCGCGGUAAUACGGAGGAUGCGAGCGUUAUCCGGAUUUCUUGGGUUUAAAGGGUGCGCAGGCGGAAGAUCAAGUCAGCGGUAAAAUUGAGGGGCUCAACCUCUUCGAGCCGUUGAAACUGGUUUUCUUGAGUGAGUGAGAGGUAUGCGGAAUGCGUGGUGUAGCGGUGAAAUGCAUAGAUAUCACGCAGAACUCCGAUUGCGAAGGCAGCAUACCGGCGCUCAACUGACGCUCAUGCACGAAAGUGUGGGUAUCGAACAGGAUUAGAUACCCGGGUAGUC